GAGUUCUUUUGAACUUUCGCAAGAUAUGGAGUUGGGAUGGCAAAAGCUUAAACUUAUUCAACGAUGCCAGGGAGAAGGAUUGGGAAGGCAAUAGUUCAAGGAAUUCAAUAUAUUGAGGAAUUGACUUGAGGGAUCUCAAUUUCUGUGGGAAUUUAAUUGCGAUGAGAAAGACCUAGACUUUGAGAUAUCUAGGUGGGAUUGGCUGUAUGUAUGAAGGAGGCCAUCUAAACUACAAUCUCCAACUGCUUAUUCCCUAGGGAAAUUUCUAGAGUACUACUACUGAUCACCUGUUAAUCAUCACCGCUUAGUUCACCCAAGACAUGGAGUUGGAGAUUGAUGCCAGACAUGGCAGGGUCUGUGGUGUCAAUUGACCCCUGCCUGCACUCGACUAACCAUCGACCUUUUAUCCUGCGGUGAACUCAACAGUGAUUAGCUGUGGGUUAUCUAUAGCUUUUUCCAUGAUCUCCAUGAUGUUUAGCCACAACCUCCUCAAGCAUUAUCCUUAUUACUAGAUGUUGCCGCCGAAUCUCGAAUGAGGUCAGAGUACAGCCCGAAAAACUCUAAGGUCAGUUGGAGACGAGCUGAGCAAACUAGCCGAGGUGCGCGGGGCGGAAAAUCCUCCGAUGCCUAAGUUAGAAUAAUGCGGCAACAAUAUAGAAAAGAGAGAAUUUCCGCAGAGUGCGGUCUUUGUGAGUAAUAUUGCAUGCGUACCUAAAGUCCCCCAAGCUCCCUCUUUAUAUAGAAAAGAUCAUUUUGUCGUUGCCUGACCUGACAUAAAGUACAAUGAUAGCCAAGUAACAGUCGGUAGUACGGACAAGGCGUGAGUGCCAGUCUGCAUAGGCGGUGGAAAGUA
rnacentral:lncRNA from 1 species